rnacentral:tRNA from 1 species
GGGCGAUUAGCUCAGUUGGCAGAGCAGCUGACUCUUAAUCAGCGGGUCAUAGGUUCGAAUCCUAUAUCGCCCACCA